rnacentral:rRNA from 1 species
AUUGAACGCUGGCGGAAUGCUUUACACAUGCAAGUCGAACGGCAGCACGGACUACGGUCUGGUGUCGAGUGGCGAACGGGCGAGCAAGGUAUCGGUACGUGCCAAGGUGUGGGGGAUCACGGAGUGACUAGUACGCUAAUACGGCAAACGAUCUAGGGACGAAAGCGGGAGACCGUAAGGCCUCGCGGGAUGGGAGCGUCAGAUUUCGGAUUAGGUAGUUGGUGGGGUAAAGGCUUACCGCGCCGACGAUCUGUAGCUGGUCUGAGAGGACGAUCAGCCACACUGGAACUGAGACACGGUCCAGACUCCUACGGGAGGCAGCAGUGGGGAAUUUUGGACAAUGGGCGCAAGCCUGAUCCAGCCAUGCCGCGUGCGGGAUGAAGGCCCUCGGGUUGUAAACUGCUUUUGUACGGAACGAAAAGGCUCUGGUUAAUACCUGGGGCUCAUGACGGUACCGUAAGAAUAAGCACCGGCUAACUACGUGCCAGCCGCCGCCGUAA